UCAGACCAUGAGGUUGAAGUCGACCGCCUCGUGUGAGCAGGACUCGUGCUUCAAAGUUGCAGAAUAGCUCAGUUAUAGGGGAAGAUACAGCAAACACACACAACACACGCGUGCCAUGUCAAAUGACUUCUCAAUGCAUGCUGCUGUGCUCCUGUUAAGUUACAGCAGUGGUUUUAUGUGCCUUUUUAUAAAUGUCAGAUCCCUGAAGAGCAGUGAAACAGUCACUCUGAUCCCUGUGGGCCAAAGCGAUGUUGUACAAGCUUGAAGCUGUUGAUCCUUAGAACUGCACAGCAUGUAGCUUCAGAGACAUUUUCAAUGAAUAGCCUUAUUAAAUGAACUUAAGUGACUGAAUGGUCUUUAUGAUUAUCAAGUUUAAAAAUAAUUUUUAGGCUGAGUAUUCAAAAAAGUGAAAACAACAGAAACACAGCUAAACUACGUAUGCUAAUUCUGAUUCAUACUACAGUGAAUUUGAAAAUGUAAGUUUAUAACUUGAAAACAUGUCAUGUUAUAGCAUGAAAAAGGUCUGGUUGCUUUGCUAGUAACACACUUGUUCCCCACAUGUAUGAAAUAGCCUGUGUUUAUCAAAAGAAGUAGUGACACAUACUCAAGGUGGUGAUAUAGUGGAGCUAUCCUGCAGCUUUGAGGUUACCUGAAUCCUAUCGUGUUCAAGUGAAAUCACCGGAGGUCGUUCUCAUCUUAAAACGCUCCAAAAAGAUCCACUUUUUUCUGUUGCAUUGCGUGUUCUUUUUUGGCCCGUGCCUCUAUGGUUGCAGAUAUGAUUUCAUUUUUCUUUUCUAUAAUUGUCUUUGAGAGACUUUUUUUUUUCUGGGUGCAUGUCCAUUUCAUCGAACAUAACCAUCACAUUCAGAGUUCUUUGUUUUUGACGUCGCUUCAGUCAUGUUUGUUCUCCAAACUGUUCUUUUCCUGGGAAGUUGUGAUGUGGAUUGCAGCUGUGGACAUCUAAUAAAAAAACUAUUUCCUCACA